rnacentral:sRNA from 1 species
CAAAGAAGAAGAAGAAAAAAA